rnacentral:rRNA from 1 species
GACGAACGCUGGCGGCGUGCUUAACACAUGCAAGUCGAACGGAAAGGCCCUGCUUUUGUGGGGUGCUCGAGUGGCGAACGGGUGAGUAACACGUGAGUAACCUGCCCUUGACUUUGGGAUAACUUCAGGAAACUGGGGCUAAUACCGGAUAGGAGCUCCUGCUGCAUGGUGGGGGUUGGAAAGUUUCGGCGGUUGGGGAUGGACUCGCGGCUUAUCAGCUUGUUGGUGGGGUAGUGGCUUACCAAGGCUUUGACGGGUAGCCGGCCUGAGAGGGUGACCGGCCACAUUGGGACUGAGAUACGGCCCAGACUCCUACGGGAGGCAGCAGUGGGGAAUAUUGCACAAUGGGCCGAAGCCUGAUGCAGCAACGCCGCGUGCGGGAUGACGGCCUUCGGGUUGUAAACCGCUUUCGCCUGUGACGAAGCGUGAGUGACGGUAAUGGGUAAAGAAGCACCGGCUAACUACGU